rnacentral:rRNA from 1 species
GACGAACGCUGGCGGCGUGCUUAACACAUGCCAGUCGAACGCUGAACCCGCUUCGGUGGGGGAUGAGUGGCGAACGGGUGAGUAACACGUGGGCAACCUGCCCCCGGCUCUGGGAUAACUCCAAGAAAUUGGGGCUAAUACCGGAUGUGACCGCUGGCCGCAUGGUCUGGUGGUGGAAAGGGUUUCCGGCUGGGGAUGGGCCCGCGGCCUAUCAGCUUGUUGGUGGGGUAGUGGCCUACCAAGGCGACGACGGGUAGCCGGCCUGAGAGGGUGACCGGCCACACUGGGACUGAGACACGGCCCAGACUCCUACGGGAGGCAGCAGUGGGGAAUAUUGCGCAAUGGGCGGAAGCCUGACGCAGCGACGCCGCGUGGGGGAUGACGGCCUUCGGGUUGUAAACCUCUUUCAGCAGGGCGAAGCGCAAGUGACGGUACCUGCAGAAGAAGCACCGGCCAACUACGUG